UACGUAGGGUGCGAGCGUUAAUCGGAAUUACUGGGCGUAAAGCGUGCGCAGGCGGUUUUGUAAGCCAGGUGUGAAAUCCCCGGGCUCAACCUGGGAAUGGCAUUUGGGACUGCAAGGCUGGAGUGCGGCAGAGGAGACUGGAAUUCCUGGUGUAGCAGUGAAAUGCGUAGAUAUCAGGAGGAAUACCGAUGGCGAAAGGCGGUCUGCUGGGGGUAAUGCUGACACUGAUGCGCGACAGC
rnacentral:rRNA from 1 species